AGUGAACGCUGGCGGUAGGCCUAACACAUGCAAGUCGAACGGCAGCACAGUAAGAGCUUGCUCUUACGGGUGGCGAGUGGCGGACGGGUGAGGAAUACAUCGGAAUCUACUUUUUCGUGGGGGAUAACGUAGGGAAACUUACGCUAAUACCGCAUACGACCUACGGGUGAAAGCAGGGGAUCUUCGGACCUUGCGCGAUUGAAUGAGCCGAUGUCGGAUUAGCUAGUUGGCGGGGUAAAGGCCCACCAAGGCGACGAUCCGUAGCUGGUCUGAGAGGAUGAUCAGCCACACUGGAACUGAGACACGGUCCAGACUCCUACGGGAGGCAGCAGUGGGGAAUAUGGGACAAUGGGCGCAAGCCUGAUCCAGCCAUACCGCGUGGGUGAAGAAGGCCUUCGGGUUGUAAAGCCCUUUUGUUGGGAUAGAAAAGCAGCAGGUUAAUACCCCGCUGUUCUGACGGUACCCAAAGAAUAAGCACCGGCUAACUUCGUG
rnacentral:rRNA from 1 species